CUUAUUUCUUUUUAGGGUCACGUAGAGGACUGUUUUCUCAUUUAAGUGAUGUGCUAUUCCACUGCUGCUAAGAUGACAAAGAACUUCAGGCUGGAGCUGCUGGGUGCAGUGCUGAGAAAGUACAGAGAACAUGUGCUCCUGGGGAAAGCCACCAACUGGUGGCGUCUCUGGCACCCGCCGCGUGAUCUGAGACCUGCCCCUGCACAGUCCCAGAGAGGGGACACAGAGACGAACAGCUGGGUAACGGACUGAACUUUCCACGUUGCAGCCAAGUAUUUUGGCGUCAUGCAGAUUAGGACUUGACUGAUCUCACUGGAACAUUGUUCCAGUCUUCGUCCGCUCUGCUGUUGGAGACACCAGUUUAACAUUCCCAUGGAAAAAAAUGCACACCUGCUCAAUCAUUUCAAAAACAAUAGAUACGGGACAUUUACUGCAAAUUAGUGACACCGGCAAAUGUUUCCCUUGCCCCUCAUUUCGGUUAGAAUUUCAAAGUUGCCCUUUGUCUGAGAGGUAUCUUAGGAAUUUCUAGUAAUAAAGACAAAUUAACAAAAAAACUGUCAGAAAGGGUAAGAGCAAGUUUUUAUUAUUUUUUCAACACUUCUUUCUAAUUUUCACAUAGUAAAAUACAGCAAAGUAGACUACUUGUGGUGUCCAGGCUUGCAGGCUUUGACAAUUGUGUAGCACAGCGGACAUGCGUCACUGUGGUCAUGCAUGGUCUACCACCGUCGGCCUCCCAGACUCUCCUGCUGGCCCUCUCUGUCAGCCCUUCCAGCCCCACGCUUUGACGACCACGGAUCCAUCCUCUGUCCCUGUGGCUUUGCCUUUUCUAGGAUGUUAUAUAAAUGGAAUCAUCCUGCAGCGUGGAACCUUUUGAUUUGUUAAUAAUGAAUUUAAUUCAUUAAUUUAUUUUUGUUAAGUUUUUCACUGAUAAAUCGCUUCUUGGCCUUUUGGCUAAGAUCAAGUGAAGUUUUUCACUGAUAGCAUGUUCUGUGUAGAACGAGGGGGAGCAAGGAAAACUGGGGCCGGGGCAGCUUAGGAAAUACGGAAGAGGUGGCGGAGUUGCCCAGCUCAAGGAUAGAACUGGUUUCAUCUGUGCAUCGUUACUGUCUCUGCGAGGUGGUGGGAACCAACAGAAUGAUGUGCAUGUCCAGAUUUCACCCCUGCCACACCCCGGGAAAAAUCAUCGCGCUUGGCC
rnacentral:lncRNA from 1 species